GCCGACAUAGCUCAGCGGCAGAGCAACUGAUUCGUAAUCAGUAGGUCCCCAGUUCAAUCCUGGGUGUCGGCUCCA
rnacentral:tRNA from 4 species